rnacentral:lncRNA from 1 species
UCAACUCAUUCCAUUCGUUCCCCCUUUUCUUGGCAUUCACAAUAGCUUCCCAGUCUUUUUUCGUCAUUUCGGCCUUGCAUCUACUGCAAAGCCGAAGAUGCUUUUUGGCAUGGGCCACGUUGUCAGCGGUCUCCUUGUCCAAAACCUCUUUUCCUUUAACAUUCACCAUAUUAACCUGAAAUGAAAACGAACUUCUGUUAAUUUCUUUAUUUUCAUUUUUCUGGUCAGCUAAUAUGAGCCGACCCUCGUCUAUUUCUUCUUGGAUCUGCCUUUUCGCAGUCGCUUUUCCUUUCCCUUUCACGUUCACGGCGUUGACCUGUGAUGAAAAAGGAUUCUUAUCAAUUUCCAUAUCCCUAUUUUCUU